AAAUUCUGGUAGCAACAUUGUGCAGUAUGAGCGAACCAUUUCACCAAAAAAAGGGGAAGCAAGGCAAGACGUGGCUGCAGCGGUCUGCAGACGUGACUUCUGAUCAAAUUCGAACCUCCUAAAGAAACAAAGAGCGACAUUACAUUGCGGGAUGACGUCACCUGAAAAUGACCAAUAGCGCGGGGCGCUGCUGAGCUGUGUGCCAACCGCUCUUUUUUUCAUGCAGGAGACUCAAGUUGGCUUCGCUAACGGACACAGUUUUGAACUCGUAUAUUAGCGCCAUUUAUUGCUGCUUGGACCACAGCAUCUUCGGAAUUUGUAGACAUCCUGGCAGCUUACAAUUAGUUCGAGGUGAGGUAGUUCAGUCAUCAAGGGGCUACGUGCUUCAUUGUAAACUGCAUUGGAAUGAGCCACGUUGUUUCUUUCGGUGUAUUGAAGCAGGCUGCAAGCAGACAUACACCAGACACUGAAUUUGAGCAGAAACCAUAAGGAUACUCAAAGGACCUGUGACUCUCAGGAAAUGCAUCAAAUGAGAGGGACAGAUGAAACAGUUUCAAGACAAUGGCAGGAAAAACAUGCUGAAGAUUGAAACAAACCUUGGCUGGAAAUAUUUGAAGGUAUCUAGCCAGUCCACAAUGAAAGCUUCGUUGCACCCCAUGAGUCUUCUGGCAGAAAUGAUGGCGCCUGUAUUCUUUGGUUUCCCUAAACAUCACACCCUGCCUGUUUAUACGAGGCUCUUCAAUUAAGUCUGCACCCAAAGAUUCAAUAAGAGAGGGGAUCCUGCCAGUCCAAAGUGAACUCCUGAUGGACAUUGAAGUACUCCUGCAGAGCUUGUAUCUUCGACACCGUGUGCAUUAGAAACUCCACUGAGUCCUUUCCUUCACCAAGGCAGGACCCAGUGACUCAUUACUGUUGAUAGGUCAGGGGCAGGUAAUAUUUUGUUUCAUGUUUAUUCAUUCCUCCAUGGAUUACCAGCCAUAUAUAUGGACACAUGCUGUAUUCUCAAGAUCUAUGCUGUUUUGUAGGAAUAGAGAAAAUGAUAUGUUUAGUCUGUUUUCAAAUGGUAUGUCAAAUUUUCUCAUUCUUUAUCAGUAAUAUUCACUACCUUGGUUAUAUAUGAGCAUCUUUAGAUUUUUCUAUAUUUAGCGGUUGCAAAUGUAAAAUGUACGGUAAACCAUUUAUGUUCCUCAUAGUGUACUGUAUUUUUAGCGGUAAAAUACCGGCAGCUGUGGUUGCCAGGAAUUUACCGUAAAAUGUAUCUGGUCAAAAUAAAAUGCUGUAAUUUGUUAUACAA